rnacentral:rRNA from 1 species
CCUACGGGAGGCAGCAGUGAGGAAUAUUGGUCAAUGGCCGGAAGGCUGAACCAGCCAAGCCGCGUGAGGGAGGAAGGCGCAGAGCGUCGCAGACCUCUUUUGCCGGGGGACAAAAGGCCGGACGGGUCCGGUUCUGAGGGUACCCGGAGAAAAAGCAUCGGCUAACUCCGUGCCAGCAGCCGCGGUAAUACGGAGGAUGCGAGCGUUAUCCGGAUUCAUUGGGUUUAAAGGGUGCGCAGGCGGGCGUUUAAGCCGGCGGUGAAAUCGCGGGGCUCAACCCCGCCGCGCCGUCGGAACUGGGGGCCUUGAGUGCGGGGGAGGCAUGCGGAAUGCGCGGUGUAGCGGUGAAAUGCAUAGAUAGCGCGCAGAACCCCGAUUGCGAAGGCAGCGUGCCGUGGCGCCACUGACGCUGAGGCACGAAAGCGCGGGGAUCGAACAGGAUUAGAUACCCCUGUAGUC